CAGUAGCCGCGGGAAUACGGAGGGGGCUAGCGUUGUUCGGAAUUACUGGGCGUAAAGCGCACGUAGGCGGCUUUGUAAGCUAGAGGUGAAAGCCUGGGGCUCAACUCCAGAAUUGCCUUUAAGACUGCAUCGCUUGAACGUCGGAGAGGUGAGUGGAAUUCCGAGUGUAGAGGUGAAAUUCGUAGAUAUUCGGAAGAACACCAGUGGCGAAGGCGGCUCACUGGACGACUGUUGACGCUGAGGUGUGAAAGCGUGGGGAGCAAACAGGAUUAGAUACCCGCGUAGUCCCUGUCUCUUAUAC
rnacentral:rRNA from 1 species